ACUGCCCCAUUGGUUAGAGUGACAGUCAGUCACACAGUGCAUGCAGCCAAUUGACACACCUGAGGCAAUUAUUUAGGCUUGCUCCAGCUUUCCCCAGUCAGAUGUGAGGGGGAGAGCUGGAGACAAAGGAGCUACAGAUCCGAGAAAUCCAGUGAGUUUGGAGCCUUGGAGCUGCCAUACUCUCAUCCAUUAUUGGAAUUGGCCAGGUGAUCCCUUUUUAGGGAAAAAGAUGGCGAGCUUCUGGAAACUGGCUGGAGCCAGGAGAGCCUUAAGAAUCACUCCACAGUGGACUGGUCUGUAUCAUUUCCCCCCUCCAUCUCACCACUCAGGCAUACACUCCAUUAUUCACCUCUUCAUCUGAAACAACUUGCGCUGGGACAUUUUUCAACUUAAAUAUCUGGAUAAUCCAACCGUGGAUUUCUGAACGUGUGUCGGGUCAGACUCUGGACUGAUCAGUGGGGAAUUUAAGAUCAGUUGU